rnacentral:rRNA from 1 species
CACGUAGGGCGCAAGCGUUGUCCGGAAUUAUUGGGCGUAAAGAGCUCGUAGGCGGUUUGUCGCGUCUGCUGUGAAAACUGGAGGCUCAACCUCCAGCCUGCAGUGGGUACGGGCAGACUAGAGUGCGGUAGGGGAGAUUGGAAUUCCUGGUGUAGCGGUGGAAUGCGCAGAUAUCAGGAGGAACACCGAUGGCGAAGGCAGAUCUCUGGGCCGUAACUGACGCUGAGGAGCGAAAGCAUGGGGAGCGAACAGG